UUAAUUGUUGGUUGCUUAACGUCCAGUGGCAAAUAUUUCAUGCAUAUUCAGGACGAAAUUUUUGACUUAGAUUUUCACUUUUCCCAUUCUACAGAAUAGUAAUUAUAAGAGAAAAAUUGACAUAGAUUUCCACUUAUUCCAUUUAGUCAAUGUCAGUUUUAAUUGUAGCUAGAAAUGUUUCUUUGAUUCAAUUAUUUCACUUUACAAAUUGAC
rnacentral:lncRNA from 1 species